CCUGGUGGCUGUGAACUGCUGCUUCCUAACCUGGAGCCUUUCACCCUUUGCAACUCACAGUGCUCCGGUUUGCUAUCCUCAUCUCUACAGCUGAUCUCAGCAGCUGUGAUGGGAUGAUUUCAUGAUUACCUGCAGGGGAAAAUAAGAGAAGGACUUGGUUUGCACUUCCAGCUUCACUGAGAGAGGGCUAUGCAGAAAAGGAGACUUUAUCCAGAUAAUGCCUGCAGGCAGAUAUUGCGUGCGUGGGAUGGAUGGUGCAAUGAAGAAGCACUUAGGAAAAUUGGAUGUCGUUGUGUCAUGUGGAAGCACGAACCCUUCUGGGGAAUGGAGCUGAGGGAGAUGGGGGCUCUGGGGGCCCUGACUCCAUUCCUGAUGGGCUCUUUUAGUUGUUGGUGUUUCGCUGUCGUUUUGUGAUGUGAGUUUCAAUAAUUUCUGGGUUUGGACCAACUUCAUGAUGCAUUAAAUGAACCCUGUAUUAUAGCUUGGAUGUUUCAUAAGUGUUUCUAAUUAUUCUUAUGUAGGGAG
ensembl:lncRNA